ensembl:lncRNA
CAAUGAGCCACCACUCUUGAACUUUCCACCCCCAGAACCAACGAGCAGAUGAACCUCUGUUCUUUAUAAACGACCCAGCCCUUGGUGUUUUGAUACAACAACAGAAAACAGACCUAGACACGAGCCAUUUCUGGCACUGUCUGGCACGAUGUCCUGGUCUAUUGGUUUGUGCUGCAUGAUAGCAGGACCCGGGUCCCUCUUGUUCACUCUGUCCCUGUCCCUGCAUGUGUGUGGCCCCAGGACGGAUUCAGGAGGCACCAGUGGGACACAGACUAGCAAGGGAGGCUUGGCGAAGAGACGACAGAAAAUGGAAGCCUCAGCAGGAGACAGGCGGAGCCUUAGCCACCAUGCUGCCCCCUGCGACACUGCUCAGAGAUUUUUCUAAGGCCCAGAAUGGAAGUACUGCGAUUUCAUCUCUGCUGUUCUUUGCCGUGGCCCCAGGGCCUUGAAAGUGCCUGGCACACGGUAUGUGCUCAAUGGUGUGACCCUCACGGGCGGAACCCUGGAGGAUGUCGUACAUCCCAGAAAACCCACUACACCUCCGCCUCAUAGAGAGGAAGUUGAAAACGCAUCGAUCUCUGUGACCAAGGUUAGCCAAGCAGCAGUUCGCUGUACGAAUAAAUGUCUGGAAGCUCAUGGCCACCACUCUGAGCACCUCUUGUAAUGGUAGAGGCCAAAGGUAACUUGUAUUAACCUCAUGAUGGCUCAAUAAAUUUCAUAUUAAAAC